GUCGUCAGCUCGUGUCGUGAGAUGUUGGGUUAAGUCCCGUAACGAGCGCAACCCUUAUUGUCAGUUGCCAGCAUUCAGUUGGGCACUCUGGCGAGGCUGCCGGUGACAAACCGGAGGAAGGUGGGGAUGACGUCAAGUCAUCAUGCCCCUUAUGACCUGGGCUACACACGUGCUACAAUGGUCGGUACAACGUGUUGCGAACUCGCGAGGGCAAGCAAAUCACUUAAAACCGAUCUCAGUUCGGAUUGCAGGCUGCAACUCGCCUGCAUGAAGCUGGAAUCGCUAGUAAUCGCGGAUCAGCAUGCCGCGGUGAAUACGUUCCCGGGA
rnacentral:rRNA from 1 species